rnacentral:rRNA from 1 species
GACGAACUCUGGUAUUGAUUGGUGCUUGCAUCAUGAUUUACAUUUGAGUGAGUGGCGAACUGGUGAGUAACACGUGGGAAACCUGCCCAGAAGCGGGGGAUAACACCUGGAAACAGAUGCUAAUACCGCAUAACAACUUGGACCGCAUGGUCCGAGUUUGAAAGAUGGCUUCGGCUAUCACUUUUGGAUGGUCCCGCGGCGUAUUAGCUAGAUGGUGGGGUAACGGCUCACCAUGGCAAUGAUACGUAGCCGACCUGAGAGGGUAAUCGGCCACAUUGGGACUGAGACACGGCCCAAACUCCUACGGGAGGCAGCAGUAGGGAAUCUUCCACAAUGGACGAAAGUCUGAUGGAGCAACGCCGCGUGAGUGAAGAAGGGUUUCGGCUCGUAAAACUCUGUUGUUAAAGAAGAACAUAUCUGAGAGUAACUGUUCAGGUAUUGACGGUAUUUAACCAGAAAGCCACGGCUAACUACGUGCCAGCAGCCGCGGUAAUACGUAGGUGGCAAGCGUUGUCCGGAUUUAUUGGGCGUAAAGCGAGCGCAGGCGGUUUUUUAAGUCUGAUGUGAAAGCCUUCGGCUCAACCGAAGAAGUGCAUCGGAAACUGGGAAACUUGAGUGCAGAAGAGGACAGUGGAACUCCAUGUGUAGCGGUGAAAUGCGUAGAUAUAUGGAAGAACACCAGUGGCGAAGGCGGCUGUCUGGUCUGUAACUGACGCUGAGGCUCGAAAGUAUGGGUAGCAAACAGGAUUAGAUACCCUGGUAGUCCAUACCGUAAACGAUGAAUGCUAAGUGUUGGAGGGUUUCCGCCCUUCAGUGCUGCAGCUAACGCAUUAAGCAUUCCGCCUGGGGAGUACGGCCGCAAGGCUGAAACUCAAAGGAAUUGACGGGGGCCCGCACAAGCGGUGGAGCAUGUGGUUUAAUUCGAAGCUACGCGAAGAACCUUACCAGGUCUUGACAUACUAUGCAAAUCUAAGAGAUUAGACGUUCCCUUCGGGGACAUGGAUACAGGUGGUGCAUGGUUGUCGUCAGCUCGUGUCGUGAGAUGUUGGGUUAAGUCCCGCAACGAGCGCAACCCUUAUUAUCAGUUGCCAGCAUUAAGUUGGGCACUCUGGUGAGACUGCCGGUGACAAACCGGAGGAAGGUGGGGAUGACGUCAAAUCAUCAUGCCCCUUAUGACCUGGGCUACACACGUGCUACAAUGGAUGGUACAACGAGUUGCGAACUCGCGAGAGUAAGCUAAUCUCUUAAAGCCAUUCUCAGUUCGGAUUGUAGGCUGCAACUCGCCUACAUGAAGUCGGAAUCGCUAGUAAUCGCGGAUCAGCAUGCCGCGGUGAAUACGUUCCCGGGCCUUGUACACACCGCCCGUCACACCAUGAGAGUUUGUAACACCCAAAGUCGGUGGGGUAACCUUU